rnacentral:lncRNA from 1 species
AUGUGUCAUAGGAGUCCCGCUCGUUUCUCUGUGCGUGGGGUCAAGCAUGGCUUUUUCCCAAGUGGGAAUCAGCAGUUUUCAUUCUUAGUUUUGAGAGACGUUCAGGGAUCCUGGGUCUUGUACUCUGUUCCUUCUUCCCUUCUUUCCUUUCUUUCUUUUGCUGUGUUCUGGUUUUUUUUUGUUUUUUGUUUUUUUUUGUUGUUGUGGUUGUUGUUGUUGUUAUUUUUGGUGCUUUUCUCAGACGUUAUCCUUUUAUUCUUGGUUUAUUCUAAAUACUCUUUAGGACCUGUAUUUGCUGCUUUUGGCGUGGCAAGAAAACGCUUGCCCAGGAGGAUUUCCAACCUGAUGUGGGGAGCUGCGUUCGCUGCUUCCUUUCCUCCCACUUCAAAACCGAGACUGUGGUCAUGUGCGUUUGGAAGCGGGUGAGAGGCAGGCAGCCGCCCCCUGUGGUGCCGCGUCCGUGACGUCCAGUCUCGUUUUGUCUCGCUGUGUGUGGCUCCAUCUUCUUCCCUGUACAGACCUCGGGGGAUUUCUGGUUGCACUCUGCACUUGGGUGUGUGUCUGUUUUUUUGAGCUUGGGUUCUGAUGAUAACCGUUGGUUGAAACAUAUGAGCUUAGUGACCGUUGGACAGAGGUGACCUUUCUUGAACAGCAGUGGGGUGACUGGACCUGAUGACAAGUAGCACACUGAGAUCUGGCUUCCCUGCCAGGCGCUACAGUGUGCCCUCUACACACAGGACCCCCCACAUCUACUCCAGAUGUUUACAGGAAGUGGGAAACUGAGGCACAGGAGGGAGCGAGUAACUUGCAGGCAGUUUAAGUGUGGGAGCCGCACCUGGAACCUGAGGGGGUUGUCCACGCACCCACUACCCCUGUGAGCCAUCAGCUCUCCUAACCGAGGGAGCAGAAGCGUAUUGUCACCUGUGUGGGUGACAGAGCAUUUUGUAGGAAGCAUUAAGGGAAAGCUUUUUGCCUGUGUAUUUUAUGAAAUUCCCCUUCCCCUAAUAAAUUUCAGCAAUCCGCAAGGAGCA